UACGGAGGGGACUAGCGUUGUUCGGAAUUACUGGGCGUAAAGCGCACGUAGGCGGAUUUGUAAGUCAGGGGUGAAAUCCCGGGGCUCAACCUCGGAACUGCCUUUGAUACUGCAAAUCUCGAGUCCGGAAGAGGUGAGUGGAAUUCCUAGUGUAGAGGUGAAAUGCGUAGAUAUCAGUCGGAACACCGGUGGCGAAGGCGGCUUCUUGGGCCGUUCCUGACGCUGAGGCGCGGAAAGCUGGGGGAGCGAACGGGG
rnacentral:rRNA from 1 species